rnacentral:rRNA from 1 species
UACGGGGGGGGCAAGCGUUGUUCGGAAUUACUGGGCGUAAAGGGCUCGUAGGUGGCCAACUAAGUCAGACGUGAAAUCCCUCGGCUUAACCGGGGAACUGCGUCUGAUACUGGAUGGCUUGAGUUCGGGAGAGGGAGUGCGGAAUUCCAGGUGUAGCGGUGAAAUGCGUAGAUAUCUGGAGGAACACCGGUGGCGAAGGCGGCAUCCUGGACCGAUACUGACACUGAGGAGCGAAAGCCAGGGGAGCAAACGGG